rnacentral:rRNA from 1 species
ACUCCUACGGGAGGCAGCAGUGGGGAAUAUUGCACAAUGGGCGAAAGCCUGAUGCAGCCAUGCCGCGUGUGUGAAGAAGGCCUUCGGGUUGUAAAGCACUUUCAGCGAGGAGGAAAGGUUGUAGUUUAAUAAACUGCAGCUGUGACGUUACUCGCAGAAGAAGCACCGGCUAACUUC